rnacentral:rRNA from 1 species
GUUUGAUCCUGGCUCAGAUUGAACGCUGGCGGCAUGCCUUACACAUGCAAGUCGAACGGUAACGCGGGGCAACCUGGCGACGAGUGGCGAACGGGUGAGUAAUGCAUCGGAACGUGCCCAGUAGUGGGGGAUAGCCCGGCGAAAGCCGGAUUAAUACCGGCAUACGACCUACGGGUGAAAGCGGGGGACCGUAAGGCCUCGCGCUAUUGGAGCGGCCGAUGUCAGAUUAGGUAGUUGGUGGGGUAAAGGCCUACCAAGCCUUCGAUCUGUAGCUGGUCUGAGAGGACGACCAGCCACACUGGGACUGAGACACGGCCCAGACUCCUACGGGAGGCAGCAGUGGGGAAUUUUGGACAAUGGGCGCAAGCCUGAUCCAGCCAUGCCGCGUGCGGGAAGAAGGCCUCGGGUUGUAAACCGCUUUGUACGGUACGAAAAGACUCCGGCUAAUACCUGGAGUCCGAUGACGGUACCGUAAGAAUAAGCACCGGCUAACUACGUG